rnacentral:rRNA from 1 species
GACGAACGCUGGCGGCGUGCUUAACACAUGCAAGUCGAACGGAAAGGCCCUGCUUUUGUGGGUUGCUCGAGUGGCGAACGGGUGAGUAACAAGUGAGUAACCUGCCCUUGACUUUGGGAUAACUUCAGGAAACUGGGGCUAAUACCGGCUAGGAGCUCCUGCUGCAUGGUGGGGGUUGGAAAGUUUCGGCGGUUGGGGAUGGACUCGCGGCUUAUCAGCUGGUUGGUGGGGUAGUGGCUUACCAAGGCUUUGACGGGUAGCCGGCCUGAGAGGGUGACCGGCCACCUUGGGACUGCGAUACGGACCAGACUCCUACGGGAGGCAGCAGUGGGGAAUAUUGCACAAUGGGGGGACGCCUGAGGCAGAAACGCCGCGUGCGGGAUGCCGGCCUUCGGGGUGUAAACCGCUUUCGACUGUGACGAAGCGUGAGUGACGGUAAUGGGUAAAGAAGCACCGGCUAACUACGUG